GGUGAACGCUGGCGGCGUGCCUAACACAUGCAAGUCGAACGUGAGGGGGUAGCAAUAUCCCUGAAAGUGGCGCACGGGUGAGUAAUACGUAGGUGACCUGCCCUGGAGUGGGGGAUAACAGCUAGAAAUGGCUGCUAAUACCGCAUAAUACGAGAAUGCUGGGAAGUGUUCUGGUAAAAACUCUGGUGCUUCAGGAGGGGCCUGCGGCCGAUUAGCUAGUUGGCGGGGUAAGAGCCCACCAAGGCAGUGAUCGGUAGCUGGUCUGAGAGGACGAUCAGCCACACGGGAACUGAGACACGGUCCCGACUCCUACGGGGGGCAGCAGUGAGGAAUAUUGGGCAAUGGGCGGAAGCCUGACCCAGCAACGCCGCGUGGAGGAAGACGGCCUUCGGGUUGUAAACUCCUUUUACGGGGGAAGAGGAAGGACGGUACCCCGAGAAUAAGUCACGGCUAACUACGUGCCAGCCGCCGCGGUAAGAC
rnacentral:rRNA from 1 species